AAGAGGCUCCUUAUCAAAGCCAGUCUCCUACAUUAAACUGAGUAAAAUACUGUGUUGAAAGGGCACGGAAAAUACAGCCAGCUAUGUAGGAUUCAGGUUAGAACCUGCUCAGACUAACUCACACGACCCAGGUUGAUCUGUGGGACUUGAAUGUGAGUUUGUGAUAAGAUCUUUCAUUAUAUGGGACGCUUCGGACUCAGAUGUCUAAACAUUCUGACAUGAACUCAGAAUGUCACCAGAAUGUGCACCCAAGAUAGCAACGACACGGCAACCUGACGGAACGAGGAAAAGAGGCCGACCAAAACUCACAUGGUGUCGAACAUUCCAGGAGGAUUUGGAAGCCCGGGACACGAGCCUAUCGAGGGUGGAAGAUGUCGCACAUGACUGAACAGAAUGGCGAAAGCUUGCUGCCCAAUGCACUCAACAGUGCGGGAGGAACUAAGUCUAAGUAAGACAUCUAAUUGUGUGUUACUUCCAAUUCACCCAGUGAAAAUCAGGUUCCAAAAUGAAUAUAAUUAAUAAAUAUGCUUAAUGUACU